rnacentral:rRNA from 1 species
UGGGGAAUUUUUGACAAUGGGGGAAACCCUGAUCCAGCCAUCCCGCGUGUGCGAUGAAGGCCUUCGGGUUGUAAAGCACUUUUGGCCGGAAAGAAACGUCAUGGGUUAAUACCCCGUGAAACUGACGGUACCUGCAGAAUAAGCACCGGCUAACUACGUGCCAGCAGCCGCGGUAAUACGUAGGGUGCAAGCGUUAAUCGGAAUUACUGGGCGUAAAGCGUGCGUAGGCGGUUCGGAAAGAAAGAUGUGAAAUCCCAGAGCACAACUUUGGAACUGCAUUAUUAACUGCCGGGCUAGAGUGUGUCAGGGGGGGGUGGAAUUCCGCGUGUAGCAGUGAAAUGCGUAGAUAUGCGGAGGAACACCGAGGGCGAAGGCAGCCUCCUGGGAUAACACUGACGCUCAUGCACGAAAGCGUGGGGAGCAAACAGG